rnacentral:rRNA from 1 species
GCGCCAGACUCCUACGGGAGGCAGCAGUGGGGAAUAUUGCACAAUGGGGGAAACCCUGAUGCAGCGACGCCGCGUGAGUGAAGAAGUAAUUCGUUAUGUAAAGCUCUAUCAGCAGGGAAGAAAAUGACGGUACCUGAGUAAGAAGCCCCGGCUAACUACGUGCCAGCAGCCGCGGUAAUACGUAGGGGGCGAGCGUUAUCCGGAUUUACUGGGUGUAAAGGGAGCGUAGACGGUUCUGCAAGUCUGAAGUGAAAGCCCGUGGCUUAACCGCGGAACGGCUUUGGAAACUGUGGAGCUGGAGUGCUGGGGAGGCAAGCGGAAUUCCUAGUGUAGCGGUGAAAUGCGUAGAUAUUAGGAGGAACACCAGUGGCGAAGGCGGCUUGCUGGACAGUAACUGACGUUGAGGCUCGAAAGCGUGGGGAGCAAACAGGAUUAGAUACCCCAGUA